UUUGAAGAAAUUAGAGUGCUUAAACCAGGCUUCAAGUGCUAGAAUAGUUAUGGAUGGAAUAAGGAAAUAAGACUUCUGUUCUACUUGUACUGGUUUAUAGAUCAAGAGAUAAUAAUAAAUAGGAACAGUUUAGGAUCAUUAGUAUCAUGUCCCGAGAGGUGAAAUUCUUGGACUGUCGUAACUUAACGAAACCAUUUGCCAAAUAUGUUUUCAUU
rnacentral:ncRNA from 1 species